AGCGAACGCUGGCGGCAGGCCUAACACAUGCAAGUCGAACGAACCUUUCGGGGUUAGUGGCGGACGGGUGAGUAACACGUGGGAACGUGCCUUUAGGUUCGGAAUAACUCAGGGAAACUUGUGCUAAUACCGAAUGUGCCCUUCGGGGGAAAGAUUAAUCGCCUUUAGAGCGGCCCGCGUCUGAUUAGCUAGUUGGUUGAGGUAAUGGCUCACCAAGGCGACGAUCAGUAGCUGGUCUGAGAGGAUGAUCAGCCACAUUGGGACUGAGACACGGCCCAAACUCCUACGGGAGGCAGCAGUGGGGAAUCUUGCGCAAUGGGCGAAAGCCUGACGCAGCCAUGCCGCGUGAAUGAUGAAGGUCUUAGGAUUGUAAAAUUCUUUCACCGGGGACGAUAAUGACGGUACCCGGAGAAGAAGCCCCGGCUAACG
rnacentral:rRNA from 1 species